rnacentral:rRNA from 1 species
AACGAACGCUGGCGGCAUGCCUAACACAUGCAAGUCGAACGAGACCUUCGGGUAUAGUGGCGCACGGGUGCGUAACGCGUGGGAACCUGCCCUUAGGUUCGGAAUAACUCCCCGAAAGGGGUGCUAAUACCGGAUAAUGUCUUCGGACCAAAGAUUUAUCGCCUUUGGAUGGGCCCGCGUUGGAUUAGCUAGUUGGUGAGGUAAAAGCCUACCAAGGCGACGAUACAUAGCUGGUCUGAGAGGGUGAUCGGCCACAUUGGGACUGAGACACGGCCCAGACUGCUAGGGGAGGCAGCAGUAGGGAAGAUUGGGCAAUGGACGAAAGUCUGACGGAGCAACGCCGCGUGAGUGACGAAGGUUUUCGGAUCGCAAAACUCUGUUGGUAGAGAAGAAAGUUGGUGAGAGUGGAAAGCUCAUCAAGUGACGGUAACUAACAAGAAAGGGACGGCUAACUACGUG